rnacentral:rRNA from 1 species
UAGUCCACGCCGUAAACGAUGAUUACUCGUUGUUGGUCGUAUACAUAGUCAGCGACUGAGCGAAAGCAUUAAGGUAAUCCACCUGGGGAGUACGUUGGCAACAAUGAAACUCGAAAGGAAUUGACGGGGGCCCGCACAAGCGGAGGAACAUGUGGUUUAAUUCGAUGAUACGCGAGGAACCUUACCUGGACUUAAAUGUAGUUUGACAGCUUUAGAGUAUAGAGUUUUCUUCGGACAAAUUACAAGGUGCUGCAUGGUUGUCGUCAGCUCGUGCCGUGAGGUGUCGGGUUAAGUCCCAUAACGAGCGCAACCCCUAUUGUUAGUUACCAGCACGUUAAGGUGGGGACUCUAACAAGACUGCCGGUGUAAACCGAGAGGAAGGUGGGGAUGACGUCAAAUCAGCACGGCCCUUACGUCCAGGGCUACACACGUGUUACAAUGGUCGGUACAAAGGGCAGCUACACAGCAAUGUGAUGCUAAUCUCUAAAACCGGUCUCAGUUCGGAUCGGAGUCUGCAACUCGACUCCG